rnacentral:rRNA from 1 species
UCGGUGGGGAUUAGUGGCGAACGGGUGAGUAACACGUGGGCAAUCUGCCCUGCACUCUGGGACAAGCCCUGGAAACGGGGUCUAAUACCGGAUACUGACCCUCGCAGGCAUCUGCGAGGUUCGAAAGCUCCGGCGGUGCAGGAUGAGCCCGCGGCCUAUCAGCUUGUUGGUGAGGUAAUGGCUCACCAAGGCGACGACGGGUAGCCGGCCUGAGAGGGCGACCGGCCACACUGGGACUGAGACACGGCCCAGACUCCUACGGGAGGCAGCAGUGGGGAAUAUUGCACAAUGGGCGAAAGCCUGAUGCAGCGACGCCGCGUGAGGGAUGACGGCCUUCGGGUUGUAAACCUCUUUCAGCAGGGAAGAAGCGAAAGUGACGGUACCUGCAGAAGAAGCGCCGGCUAACUACGUGCCAGCAGCCGCGGUAAUACGUAGGGCGCAAGCGUUGUCCGGAAUUAUUGGGCGUAAAGAGCUCGUAGGCGGCUUGUCACGUCGGUUGUGAAAGCCCGGGGCUUAACCCCGGGUCUGCAGUCGAUACGGGCAGGCUAGAGUUCGGUAGGGGAGAUCGGAAUUCCUGGUGUAGCGGUGAAAUGCGCAGAUAUCAAGGAGGAACACCGGGUGGCGAAGGCGGAUCUCUGGGCCGAUACUGACGCUGAGGAGCGAAAGCGUGGGGGAGCGAACAGGAUUAUAUACCCUGGUAGUCCACGCCGUAAACGGUGGGCACUAGGUGUGGGCAACAUUCCACGUUGUCCGUGCCGCAGCUAACGCAUUAAGUGCCCCGCCUGGGGGAGUACGGCCGCAAGGCUAAAACUCAAAGGAAUUGACGGG